rnacentral:rRNA from 1 species
GUACACUCCUGCGGGAGGCAGCAGUGGGGAAUUUUGGACAAUGGGCGAAAGCCUGAUCCAGCAAUGCCGCGUGCAGGAUGAAGGCCUUCGGGUUGUAAACUGCUUUUGUACGGAACGAAAAAGCUCCUUCUAAUACAGGGGGCCCAUGACGGUACCGUAAGAAUAAGCACCGGCUAACUACGUGCCAGCAGCCGCGGUAAUACGUAGGGUGCGAGCGUUAAUCGGAAUUACUGGGCGUAAAGCGUGCGCAGGCGGUUAUGUAAGACAGAUGUGAAAUCCCCGGGCUCAACCUGGGAACUGCAUUUGUGACUGCAUGGCUAGAGUACGGUAGAGGGGGAUGGAAUUCCGCGUGUAGCAGUGAAAUGCGUAGAUAUGCGGAGGAACACCGAUGGCGAAGGCAAUCCCCUGGACCUGUACUGACGCUCAUGCACGAAAGCGUGGGGAGCAAACAGGAUUAGAAACCCGAGUAGUCCC